rnacentral:rRNA from 1 species
CUCGCUGUGAAGAUGCAGUGUACCCGCGGCAAGACGGAAAGACCCCGUGAACCUUUACUAUAGCUUGACACUGAACAUUGAGCCUUGAUGUGUAGGAUAGGUGGGAGGCUUUGAAGUGUGGACGCCAGUCUGCAUGGAGCCGACCUUGAAAUACCACCCUUUAAUGUUUGAUGUUCUAACGUGGACCCGUGAUCCGGGUUGCGGACAGUGUCUGGUGGGUAGUUUGACUGGGGCGGUCUCCUCCUAAAGAGUAACGGAGGAGCACGAAGGUUGGCUAAUCCUGGUCGGACAUCAGGAGGUUAGUGCAAUGGCAUAAGCCAGCUUGACUGCGAGCGUGACGGCGCGAGCAGGUGCGAAAGCAGGUCAUAGUGAUCCGGUGGUUCUGAAUGGAAGGGCCAUCGCUCAACGGAUAAAAGGUACUCCGGGGAUAACAGGCUGAUACCGCCCAAGAGUUCAUAUCGACGGCGGUGUUUGGCACCUCGAUGUCGGCUCAUCACAUCCUGGGGCUGAAGUAGGUCCCAAGGGUAUGGCUGUUCGCCAUUUAAAGUGGUACGCGAGCUGGGUUUAGAACGUCGUGAGACAGUUCGGUCCCUAUCUGCCGUGGGCGCUGGAGAACUGAGGGGGGCUGCUCCUAGUACGAGAGGACCGGAGUGGACGCAUCACUGGUGUUCGGGUUGUCAUGCCAAUGGCACUGCCCGGUAGCUAAAUGCGGAAGAGAUAAGUGCUGAAAGCAUCUAAGCACGAAACUUGCCCCGA